rnacentral:rRNA from 1 species
ACGAACAAUGGUAGGAGAGCGUUCUAAGUGCUGUGAAGUCAGACCGUGAGGACUGGUGGAGCGCUUAGAAGUGAGAAUGCCGGUAUGAGUAGCGAAAAAAGAGUGAGAAUCUCUUUCACCGAAUGCCUAAGGUUUCCUGAGGAAGGCUCGUCCUCUCAGGGUUAGUCGGGACCUAAGCCGAGGCCGAAAGGCGUAGGCGAUGGACAACAGGCAGAUAUUCCUGUACCGCCUCAUGACCGUUUGAGCGAUGGGGGGACGCAGUAGGAUAAGGAAUGCGCACGGAUGGAUGUGUGCGCCCAAGCAGUGAGGAAGUCAGGUAGGCAAAUCCGCCUGGCCAUUUCAAGCUGUGAUGGGGAGGCCUUCUGGCCGAAGUUCCUGAUUUCACACUGCCGAGAAAAGCCUCUAGCAAGGUCACAGGUGCCCGUACCGCAAACCGACACAGGUAGGCGAGGAGAGAAUCCUAAGGUGAGCGGGAGAACUCUCGUUAAGGAACUCGGCAAAAUGACCCCGUAACUUAGGGAGAAGGGGUGCUCUACGGAGUAGAGCCGCAGUGAAUAGGCC